rnacentral:rRNA from 1 species
UACGAAUUGUGCAAACGUUAUUCGGAAUCACUGGGCUUAAAGGGUGCGUAGGCUGCUAUGAAGGUCUGGUGUGAAAUCCAACGGCUCAACCGUUGAAUUGCACUGGAAACCACAUAGCUGGAGUAGGACAGAGGUGAGCGGAACUGAUGGUGGAGCGGUGAAAUGCGUUGAUAUCAUCAGGAACACCGGUGGCGAAAGCGGCUCACUGGGUCCUAACUGACGCUGAGGCACGAAAGCCAGGGGAGCAAACGGG